AGUGAACGCUGGCGGUAGGCCUAACACAUGCAAGUCGAACGGCAGCACAGGAGAGCUUGCUCUCUGGGUGGCGAGUGGCGGACGGGUGAGGAAUACAUCGGAAUCUGCCCAGUCGUGGGGGAUAACGUAGGGAAACUUACGCUAAUACCGCAUACGACCUUCGGGUGAAAGAGGGGGAUCGCAAGACCUCUCGCGAUUGGAUGAGCCGAUGUCGGAUUAGCUAGUUGGCGGGGUAAUGGCCCACCAAGGCGACGAUCCGUAGCUGGUCUGAGAGGAUGAUCAGCCACACUGGAACUGAGACACGGUCCAGACUCCUACGGGAGGCAGCAGUGGGGAAUAUUGGACAAUGGGCGCAAGCCUGAUCCAGCCAUACCGCGUGGGUGAAGAAGGCCUUCGGGUUGUAAAGCCCUUUUGUUGGGAAAGAAAUCUUUCAGGCUAAGACCCUGGGAGGAUGACGGUACCCAAAGAAUAAGCACCGGCGAACUUCGU
rnacentral:rRNA from 1 species